GACGAACGCUGGCGGCGUGCUUAACACAUGCAAGUCGAACGCUGAAGCUCAGCUUUUGUUGGGUGGAUGAGUGGCGAACGGGUGAGUAACACGUGAGUAACCUGCCCCCUUCUUUGGGAUAACGCCCGGAAACGGGUGCUAAUACUGGAUAUUCACUGGUCUUCGCAUGGGGGUUGGUGGAAAGGGUUUUUCUGGUGGGGGAUGGGCUCGCGGCCUAUCAGCUUGUUGGUGGGGUGAUGGCCUACCAAGGCUUUGACGGGUAGCCGGCCUGAGAGGGUGACCGGUCACAUUGGGACUGAGAUACGGCCCAGACUCCUACGCGAGGCAGCAGUGGGGAAUAUUGAGCAAUGGGCGCAAGCCUGAUGCAGCGACGCCGCGUGAGGGAUGGAGGCCUUCGGGUUGUGAACCUCUUUCGCUCAUGGUCAAGCCGCAACAAUGGUUGUGGUGAGGGUAGUGGGUAAAGAAGCGCCGGCUAACUACGUG
rnacentral:rRNA from 1 species